CAAAGUCAUUGUGGGAACUGUCAUGUGAUAACAAGUAAUGCAGCUCUCAACCCUUGACGUGGUGAGCUUACUUUCUUCUGCCCUCACUCUGCCAUGGGCACCAGGCUUCACGGCUGGGCAGUGCUCUGUCUCCUGGAGGCAGUGCUUUCUGAAGCUGGAGUCACCCAGUCUCCCAGAUAUGCAAUCAUACAGGAAAGACAGCCUGUUUCUUUUCAGUGUGACCCUAUUUCUGGGCAUAUUACCCUUUACUGGUAUCAGCAGCCCAAAGACCAGGGCCCCCAGCUCCUAGUUUACUUUCAGAAUAAGGAUGUUGGGGAUGAUUCACAGCUGCCCAAGGAUCGUUUUUCUGCAGUCCGGUCUAAUGGUGUUGACUCUACUCUCAAGAUCCAGUCUGCAAAGCUGGGAGACUCAGCUACAUAUCUCUGUGCCAGCAGCUUAGCCACAGCAAUACACAGACACUUCCUUCCCAUGCAUAAAGCUGAUGGCUUUCUUCAACUCAGCUUUCAGCAGAGACCCCGGAUUAUGUCUUUUCCUCCACGGACAGAGUGGAUCUUUAGACAUAGGCCCUGCUUGGACGUAACCAGAGAUCACAAAUUCUCUCUUGAAACACGAGGCUUAGCUGACAUCAUUCCUGUGGAAUUUAAAGGACAGUUCUUAACUGAUCGACGAUUUGAGUGUGAGUAUGUUAGUGUGACAGUUGUGUCACAGUGUGGGAAUAUGGCAGUUUUCAGAGAAUAUGGCUUGUGA